rnacentral:rRNA from 1 species
CCUACGGGAGGCAGCAGUAGGGAAUCUUCCGCAAUGGACGAAAGUCUGACGGAGCAACGCCGCGUGAGCGAUGAAGGCCUUCGGGUCGUAAAGCUCUGUUGUCAGGGAAGAACAAGUACCGGAGUAACUGCCGGUACCUUGACGGUACCUGACCAGAAAGCCACGGCUAACUACGUGCCAGCAGCCGCGGUAAUACGUAGGUGGCAAGCGUUGUCCGGAAUUAUUGGGCGUAAAGCGCGCGCAGGCGGUUCCUUAAGUCUGAUGUGAAAGCCCCCGGCUCAACCGGGGAGGGUCAUUGGAAACUGGGGAACUUGAGUGCAGAAGAGGAGAGCGGAAUUCCACGUGUAGCGGUGAAAUGCGUAGAGAUGUGGAGGAACACCAGUGGCGAAGGCGGCUCUCUGGUCUGUAACUGACGCUGAGGCGCGAAAGCGUGGGGAGCGAACAGGAUUAGAUACCCUGGUAGUCCACGCUGUAAACGCGAUGUGCUAAGUGUUAGAGGGUGUCCGCCCUUUAGUGCUGCAGCAAACGCAUUAUGCACUCCGCCUGGGGAGUACGGCCGCAAGGCUGAAACUCAAAGGAAUUGACGGGGGCCCGCACAAGCGGUGGAGCAUGUGGUUUAAUUCGAAGCAACGCGAAGAACCUUAC